CUACGGGGGGCACCAGUGGGGAAUAUUGCACAAUGGGCGCAAGCCUGAUGCAGCAACGCCGCGUGAGGGAUGAAGGCCUUCGGGUUGUAAACCUCUUUUAGCAGGGAAGAAGCGAAAGUGACGGUACCUGCAGAAAAAGCACCGGCUAACUACGUGCCAGCAGCCGCGGUAAUACGUAGGGUGCAAGCGUUGUCCGGAAUUAUUGGGCGUAAAGAGCUCGUAGGCGGGUUGUCACGUCUGCUGUGAAAAUCCAAGGCUCAACCUUGGACUUGCAGUGGGUACGGGCAGGCUAGAGUGCGGUGGGGGGGAUGGGAAUUCCUGGUGUAGCGGUGGAAUGCGCAGAUAUCAGGAGAAACACCAAUGGCGAAGGCACAUCUCUGGGCCGUAACUGACGCUGAGGAGCGAAAGCGUGGGGAGCGAACAGGAUUAGAUACCCCUGUAGUC
rnacentral:rRNA from 1 species